AGUGAACGCUGGCGGUAGGCCUAACACAUGCAAGUCGAACGGCAGCACAGUAAGAGCUUGCUCUUACGGGUGGCGAGUGGCGGACGGGUGAGGAAUACAUCGGAAUCUACUUUUUCGUGGGGGAUAACGUAGGGAAACUUACGCUAAUACCGCAUACGACCUACGGGUGAAAGCAGGGGAUCUUCGGACCUUGCGCGAUUGAAUGAGCCGAUGUCGGAUUAGUUAGUUGGCGGGGUAAAGGCCCACCAAGGCGACGAUCCUUAGCUGGUCUGAGAGGAUGAUAGGCCAAAUUGGAAUGGGGAAACGGUCAAGACUCCUAGGGAAGGAAGAAGUGGGGAAUAUUGGAAAAGGGGGGAAAGCCUGAUCCAGCAAGACGGGGGGGGUGAAGAAGGCCUUCGGGUUGUAAAGACCUUUUGUGGGGAAAGAAAAGAAGCAGGUUAAUACACCGCUGUUCUGACGGUACCCAAAGAAUAAGCACCGGCUAACUUCGU
rnacentral:rRNA from 1 species